UACGUAGGGUGCGAGCGUUGUCCGGAAUUUAUUGGGCGUAAAGAGCUUGUAGGCUGGUUUGUUGCGUCGGCUGUGAAAAUCCCGAGGCUCAACCUCGGGUCUGCAGUCGAUACGAGCAACUAGGAGUGUUGUAGGGGAGACUGGAAAUUCCUGGUGUAGCGGUGAAAUGCGCAGAUAUCAGGAGGAACACCGGUGGCGAAGGCGGGUCUCUGGGCAACAACUGACGCUGGAGGAGCGAAAGCGUGGGGGAGCGAACAGG
rnacentral:rRNA from 1 species